rnacentral:rRNA from 1 species
GAGUUUGAUCCUGGCUCAGGACGAACGCUUGCGGCGUGCCUAAGAAAUGCAAGUCGAACGGAGGUAGCAAUACCUCAGUGGCGAACGGUCGCGUAACACGUAGGUAACCUGCCCUGAAGUGGGGGAUAACAGUCCGAAAGGACUGCUAAUACCGCAUGUGGCCCGUUGGUGGCAUCACCUUCGGUCUAAAGCUUUAUGUGCUUCAGGAUGGGCUUGCGGCCUAUCAGGUAGUUGGUGGGGUAAUGGCCUACCAAGCCGACGACGGGUAGCUGGUCUGAGAGGACGAUCAGCCGGAUUGGGACUGAGAUACGGCCCAGACUCCUACGGGGGGCAGCAAUUAGGAAUCUUGCGCAAUGGGGGCAACCCUGACGCAGCGACGCCGCGUGCGGGAUGAAGGCAUUCGUGUCAUAAACCGCUUUUUUCGGGGAAGAGGGAUGUGACGGUACCCGAAGAAUAAGCCCCGGCUAACUACGUGCCAGCAGCCGCGGUAAUACG